rnacentral:rRNA from 1 species
UACGGGAGGCAGCAGUAGGGAAUAUUGCUCAAUGGGGGAAACCCUGAAGCAGCAACGCCGCGUGGAGGAUGACACUUUUCGGAGCGUAAACUCCUUUUGUUAGGGAAGAACAAUGACGGUGCCUAACGAAUAAGCACCGGCUAACUCCGUGCCAGCAGCCGCGGUAAU